ACUGGAAACAAUACAGGCAGCAAAUCUGCUGCGAAGCCCUGUGGAGCGCGAGCUUGUUAUUGUUUAGAAAUAGAGCCCUGCGGAACGCCAACUUUGUUUUCUCUUGACAGCGAGAGGAAGCCACCUCUAAUUCUACUCCAGAUGUGUGUGACACCCAACUAUUGUGCUACGGUCCGAGGCGAGGGACGGAGGGAGACAUGGACGUGAGUGUUUUCUAGGGGGGUGCAUUGUAUAGAAAGUGGGCAAAGAGUUGUAUGUGAGUGAGUGACACAAUGGUAUUGUUCUUUUUGGGGUGUUGGUUGAAUGUGUGUGUUGAGGAAGUGAAGGAUGUGUCGGAGUUGACCCAGUGACACUCAUCUCUGUCUUGUCUCCCCAUGGGAAGUGUUUGAGGGCAAAAAAGGGGAAGCUGUCUCGCUGACAAGACCAGCUUUUAGCGCUGAAGUGUGUUUUUUUUCCCUCCUUUUGCAGCAAAUUGCUAGUUUAAGGUAACUUGUUUGCAUUAUUUUAUCCGACAACUUAAACCUAAAAAAAGAAACACACGGUACAAACAGUUUGUCAGAGCUCUUUCUCAGAAAUCUUUGAGGUUACAGGAAACAGGAGAGGUCUCCAGCUCCUGGAAAGCAUCGAAGAACGAGGCUUGGCGACCUCAUGAUCCCGUUCAGCUACCGCUAAGUGCUGCUCUCUUUCUAGCCGCCUAGCGAGCACUUUUUGGGCCCUGGCCGCCUCCUCUUGCAUCCGCUGUCCUUCCCCGACCCUAUUGUACAGCAGUUUAUACUCAUGGUUAUUCAGGCGGUGGACAUUUUCCAGCUCUGUCUUCUUUAUUCUCUCCUUCAAGAUUGCAGCCUGUGGAGAGGAGGGACCCUGAGAGGGAUUGGAACCAACAGAGCAACAUUUACGCUGACUGGAUCUGCUGUGGGGAUGUGACCUCCUGUGGGAGGACCUGCUCGGCUUGCUGCUGUGGUGGCUGCUAGAGUUGGGACGUUUGGCAGGUGCUGGGCCCGCGGAUGGCAGAACCCAACCCGGUAGUGCUUCGGGGAGCAGAGCUGGAGGAGAGAAUGAGCCUCCCGUCAGCGUCCUUCCAAUCUGGGGAGAAAGCCACCGCCCCCCCCCCCCCCCCCCUGCGGUGAGGGGUUACUGGUCCUCUGACCCUGGUAAUGAUGGAGGGUCAGGAGUCAGGUUGUUUGAAGGAACCAUCUACGUCUGCAGAGCGCGUGAGGAGCGCCUGGGAACCAGAGCUCAGCAUGUGAGCCCGUGAAAUUGAUCUCUCCACAGGGGACAAGUGGUGUGUAUUUAUUUUUAUGUGAGGUUGUGUGUGUGUGUGUGUGUGUGUGUGUAGGAGGGGCACGGCCGCAACAGGAGACGCAGCAGCGGAAAUGGCAGAUCUCUGCGGUCGGACUGUCGCUGGGUGACCUGGGCAGCUCGUCUGCCCGCCUGUCUGCAGCGGGACCGACGGUGACAGCGGACGGAAAACAUUCGUCUGAGGUGACGGGGAAAAAAAGUCCCAUCUGCUUCUCUCAUCAAACUGGUUCUCGCUCUCG
rnacentral:lncRNA from 1 species